AAUAAUGAGAAGGCAUCAUUUUAUUGACCAUCACAACAUAAGAUGUACCACCAAUUUUGUUCUUGGGCCCAGCCAUGCCCUGAGGUGGGGCCAUUGGAUCUGAUUGGACCCAGCUAUACUUGGCACAUCUUCUCCUUACAGCCCCUCACAGCCAACAGCUUCCUGUGGAUAACUCAGUACAUAAUGACAUCAGUAUGUUCCUGGCUGGUCCUAGAGCUCCAUGUGCGCCAAGUAUGGAUUCUGUACCACACGCUGACCACACAGGCUUUACCCCCUGGAGAGCAAUGACAGCUGUAAUAUUGUUUACAUGAAGGAAUAUAGAGAAGACAGAGCCUGUUUCUGAGGCCCACACAUCCAAAAAAGACAAGUGACAACUGUCACUAGCUUCAACAGAACAAACUCAAAUUCGACAUAAAGAAAAAAAAA